AAAAUGAUUAAUUGCCCAGAUAUUAUGUCUCUCAUACUUUUCAUACAUUACAUAAGAAUGAGGGAACAGAUUUGUUCUGAUUUCUGGUGAGACAAGACUUUGAAUCCUGUCUCGUGGUGUUGUGUGGUUACUCCUGAUUAGGCCCAUCUGAGGAGAAAAAAAAAAGCUGUUUUUCCACUCUGAGAGAGUAUAAACAGCAUGUUGCACCACAGUUCCAAGGGUAACCAAAUCCAAGGGGCUAGACCAGUGUGGAAAAGGAGCUUGUAGCUCUGGUCUGAAAUUAAGAAAAUUAGUCCUAAGCAGGUCUGGGAGAACACACCAUGAAAGGUGAGGAAGAGACUAUUGCAAUGGAUGCCCAGGUGGCAAGUGUGUUGAGGAAUAUCAUUGGCAUGUGGACAGUAACAUGGUUAUACUCUACAACUUGGUUACUCACCUGGAGAGGUAAGUAUGAGGAAAAGUCAGGGCAGGGAAUUUGUUUUGAGCCCUAUGGGCCAGUUUGAGCAGGGAAGAUACAGGGAUAUGAGCACUGGGUACUUCCAGCCUUCCCCUAACCCUUUAACCCAACAAUAGAGCCAGUAACCCUUAUAAUAAACACCAUUUGGGGUUUUCUGGGGUCCUCUGC
rnacentral:lncRNA from 1 species